UUGAANUGGGCGCAGCCUGAUCCAGCAAUGCCGCGUGAGUGAUGAAGGCCUUCGGGUUGUAAAGCUCUUUCGGCGGGGACGAUGAUGACGGUACCCGCAGAAGAAGCCCCGGCUAACUUCGUGCCAGCAGCCGCGGUAAUACGAAGGGGGCGAGCGUUGUUCGGAAUCACUGGGCGUAAAGGGCGCGUAGGCGGCCGUUCUAGUCGAGUGUGAAAGCCCCGGGCUCAACCUGGGAAUGGCGCUCGAGACGGGACGGCUCGAGAUCGGGAGAGGAGAGUGGAAUUCCCAGUGUAGAGGUGAAAUUCGUAGAUAUUGGGAAGAACACCGGUGGCGAAGGCGGCUCUCUGGACCGACACUGACGCUGAGGCGCGAAAGCGUGGGGAGCAAACAGGAUUAGAUACCCUGGUAGUCCACGCUGUAAACGAUGUGUGCUAGACGUUGGGGGGCCUAGCUCCCCGGUGUCGCAGCCAACGCUUUAAGCACACCGCCUGGGGAGUACGGCCGCAAGGUUAAAACUCAAAGGAAUUGACGGA
rnacentral:rRNA from 1 species